rnacentral:rRNA from 1 species
AGAGUUUGAUCCUGGCUCAGAACGAACGCUGGCGGCAUGCCUAACACAUGCAAGUCGAACGAGAAGCCGGGCUUCGGCCCGGUGGAAAGUGGCGGACGGGUGAGUAGCGCGUGGGAACCUGCCCAGCGGUGGGGAACAACCACGGGAAACUGUGGCUAAUACCGCAUACGCCCGCCGGGGUGAGACCCGGGGGGGAAAGAUUUAUCGCCGUUGGAGGGGCCCGCGUCGGAUUAGGUUGUUGGUGGGGUAACGGCCCACCAAGCCUGCGAUCCGUAGCUGGUCUGAGAGGAUGAUCAGCCACACUGGGACUGAGAUACGGCCCAGACUCCUACGGGAGGCAGCAGUGGGGAAUAUUGGACAAUGGGGGCAACCCUGAUCCAGCAAUGCCGCGUGGGUGAAGAAGGCCUUAGGGUUGUAAAGCCCUUUCACCGGGGACGAUGAUGACGGUACCCGGAGAAGAAGCCCCGGCUAACUCCGUGCCAGCAGCCGCGGUAAGACGGAGGGGGCUAGCGUUGUUCGGAAUUACUGGGCGUAAAGCGCGCGUAGGCGGUUCGUCGAGUCGGGCGUGAAAGCCCGGGGCUCAACCCCGGAACUGCGUUCGAUACUGGCGGACUAGAGACCGGGAGAGGAGAGUGGAAUUCCCAGUGUA